GGAUCAACCAGGUAGCAUUCCUCACCGACGUUGAUCGGCGUGCUGCAAUCCAUAAGGAAUCCACCACAACCGAUACAAACGUCGUUCGCGUGUAGCGUUGAACACUUUGUUCCGAGGGGCAAAUAGAGAUCGAAGCCUCGUGCCCACAACAUGUUCCGCAUCCGAGAUUUCGAGCAUUACGCCCUGGGUGGGCUACACAAGCGUAUGCGCACACACACACACGAGAGUGCCAACCACGACGAAUGCUAGGAGUUCCAAUCAGCACCACGACACCGAUAGGCGAAGCAGAGCAGAAUGAAAAAGGGAUAAUUUAUCUAUCGUAAUGCCUCAGAGAUAGGUAUCGAGCACAGGAUGCCACAAUCGGACGGGCUUGGGAGCCCUUGUGCCGAUGAUUGAAAAGGCACGGUUGGGAUGUC
rnacentral:misc_RNA from 1 species